rnacentral:RNase_P_RNA from 1 species
AAAAAGAGAGAAAACCGCCGAUGGCCCACGCAAGUGGGAUCAGGUAAGGGUGAAAGGGUGCGGUAAGAGCGCACCGCGCGGCUGGUAACAGUCCGUGGCACGGUAAACUCCACCCGGAGCAAGGCCAAAUAGGGGUUCAUAAGGUACGGCCCGUACUGAACCCGGGUAGGCUGCUUGAGCCAGUGAGCGAUUGCUGGCCUAGAUGAAUGACUGUCCACGACAGAACCCGGCUUAUCGGUCAGUUUCACUU